UACGUAGGGCGCAAGCGUUAUCCGGAAUUAUUGGGCGUAAAGGGCGCGUAGGCGGCCUGGCAAGUGGAAGGUGAAAUCCCUCGGCUUAACCGAGGAACUGCCCUCCAAACUGCUUGGCUUGAGUCCGGGAGAGGUGAGUGGAAUUCCCAGUUGUAGCGGUGAAAUGCGUAGAUAUUGGGAGGAACACCAGUGGCGAAGGCGGCUCACUGGACCGGAACUGACGCUGAUGCGCGAAAGCGUGGGGGAGCAAACGGG
rnacentral:rRNA from 1 species